AUGCCCAACUCUGAACCCCAUGACUGGUGUCCUUGGAGCUGGCAGAGAUCAUUUUGCUCUGAAGACUACAGACUGGCAGGAGAGCAUCACCUUCUUUCAAGGCUUCGCCUCCUCUGGUGUCGACAGCUUGUGCACCAGCAUGUCAUUGAAGCCACAUUUGCAGAAGAGAGCGCAAUGAGCAGAGCCAGAGCUGAGGGCUGCCUCCCUGCUGCAGGGAUCCUCCUCAGGCCAGGACGGCUUUCAAUCACUCUACCCCUGGACCAGGAAAGCAAGCACCAUGUCUACCCCAGGACAUGGUUCCUUUCAGUUCUGACAUGACUUUUUCUGGAGUCAUUAAAAAUACCAAAUGUGGUUCAAUGCAGCAGUACAGUCAAUGGCAACUGCAUUCCCCUGGUUGCUCAAAGCGAGACCUGGGAACCCUUCUUGACUCCUUCAUUCCCUCACUCCACCCCACAUCCAAUCCAUCAUCCAACCCUGUGAGCACUACUGCAAAAUACCCCUGGAAUCUGACCCCGUCUCACUUCAUCCACAGUGUCCGCUGGGGCUAAGUUAUCCUCAUCUUCCAUCAAAAUACUUCAAUGGUCUCCAACCCGGUCUCCUCCUACUUGCUGCUCUAUCAUCUCAUCUACAGAGAAGCCAGAGUGAUCUUUUCAAAAUAGUAAGUUAUAUCAUGUCACCCCUCAGCUCAAUAAUCCUCCAGUGGUUCCCCUAUCACGCCAAAGAAAAGGCAAAAGACCUAACAAUUGCUGAGGUGACCCUACAUAUUCCAGCUUGUCACCUCUUCAGUCUCAUCCCCUACCUCUCUCCCCUGACUCACUCUGCUUCAGCCAGACUGGCUUCUUGCUGCAUCCCCAAAACAUCGGGUAUGCCUGUGUCUUAAGGCUUACAUAGGUGCUAUUCCCUCAGCCUGCCAUCCCCUUCGUGCCAAUAUCUUCUUCGUUCAUUCCCUUUGUCCAAAAGUAAUGUUAUCAGAGAGAAGUUGCAUAACCAUCCUCAUGAAAAUAUACCUAGUCUAUCUUUAAGGAACUGACUUUGCUUUAUUUUUCAUAGCACUUACCAUUACCUAAACUAUUUAAGCAUUUGUUUACACAUCAAUUUUUUCCCCUCCUAGAAUAAAAGUUCUAUGAUAGAAAGGUUGUACA
rnacentral:lncRNA from 1 species